GAAGAUUUUUUUUUCCUUCACGCCCCUUACCUGCUACACGUUGCAGCUCCCUCUCCCCCAUCGCCACUUCUCACUUUCCCUGCUACACGUUGACCUGCCCACUGUUUUCAGAGAAACACUGCCACGCUGCCUCUCUUCUUCUUCCUGUAAAAACCAAGCUGACAUUCCCUCCUCUCACCUCCUCAGAAAACUAACACUCGGGUAGAAUAAAAAAAAAUACAGCAGUUUUACCCCCGUGGCACCAUGUCAUAGAUGAUCCGGAUCAUAUACGUGUUAUGUGGGUAGCAUGGCAACUACACAAAAGGACGAAAGUACUGGCUAUCGGCCAGGUGGCCUUCACUUGGAGAAGUUUCCAACCCGGUACAGCUCUCCUUUGUGACGACAGGAUAAGCCUAUAGUCGUUCAUUGGGACGAGCCAAACGUGCGCCGCUCAUGGUUAAAAGCGGAAUUGGUCAAAGGGAGGUUAAAACUUACACGCUAUAUAAAUGAUACAUGCAUUUAAUCUAAUUAUAUUCUAUUUAACUGUUUUUUUAUUUGUAUUUGAACUUUAUUUAGAAUUCCUGAAAAGAAAAUUUCACUUAUGUUGUGUUUUCUUUACUAAGUUGUCGAACUCACUCUUUUUUUUUCUCAAAUCUUUUUAGAUGACACUGUAGACCAAUUUUUUUUCUUUAUGGAUGGCGUAAACCCCACCCCUAAGAGCAAUAGAUCAAUAAAAACCGACCUAACUUUUAUAUUGUACAUUAUUUUUGAAAUUCUUGGAAAUAUGAUGUAAUAACUCAAGAACUACUAUAAAUAUAUUUAUAUAAUGAAAUAUAGUCAUGUGCUAUUUUUGGAAAAA